UGCGGCCUUGUCAAAUUCAGCACGAGCUGGUCAGUGUUCGUUGCUGGCCAAAAUGGCUGCUACAGGAACCAUUACAGCAGCUCAUGGGCCACACGUUCAUACCCGUGGACACUGAGGAUAAAUGUGCUGCUGACAAAC